GAGGGCAGGUAGUGCCUGCGCAGGGAGCUUUGAGACUGCUGGAAACGGCAAGAAGGCGGAAGAGAGAUGUGCGGACCUCAGGAGAAGUCGGCGGAGGAGGUGACGUCAGCCGGGCAGGGCCUCUGCAGGUCUGCAAGCCACCGCAUCGGGAUUCUAUUUUAAGCUCUGGAGCGAAACACAAGUGACGCUGAACUGCAGAGUCUGGUACGUAAAGAUCGUGCAUUUUGAGAAGCAAGGACCCUCCAAAGUCAAGCAGCUUUUAGCCUAUGGAAAGAUGUCCGGACAGCUAAACGUUUAAAAUGCACUUAAAGCAAAAGGAAAAAAAAAGUCAAAAGAUAAAUGUCAAACUGGCGGAAGUGUUUGCAACUCACAUCACAGAAGUCUUAUAUGGGAAUCAGCAUACUUUCCCUGUAAGGAGCCACGUGGUAGAUACUGUCCGCUUCCAGGCCACAGGCUCUACUCAGCUGUGCUCCAGGGGAAUUUUAUUUAUUAAAAACAUAAUAAGCCAGUGGGCCUGAUUUAGCCCACAGGCCAUAGUCUGGUCUCAUUUAACCAAUAUAUGAAGAGGUCCUAGAAAUCAAGAAGAGACAACCCAAUAAAAAAUGGGGAGAAAACAUUAAUAGAUGGUUUUUAAAAAAGGAAACUCAAAGGCCCUGAACCAAUGUGACAAAUGCCUGACUUCACGUGUGAUAAGAGAAACGGAAACAAAGGACCCAGAGAUACCCUGCUUCCCACCAGUACGCACCUCCAUCAGGUGUGCACACACCGACUUGGCGACGCCAUGGGAAACAGGUCCCUGCCGUGUCGCUGGUGGGAGCACACAGCACGCACCCUCGGGAGGGGACGUUGUUUGUCCAGCAGGCUUUCCCCCGGCCCAGCAACCCACGCCAACCCUGGCCCCUGCAGGCACAGCCGGGUACCAUGUUGCCAAGGUUACAUCAGGAGGGCCACUGCUGCUGUGUUUGUGAUGGUGAAAUCACAACCCACCCAGGAGCCGUAUAGAAACGCUGCCUCGGACGCCCCCAGGGGAACAGUACGGAGCUGUUAACGGCAACGAGGAGAGUCCUGGCAGGGAGCACAUGCAAAUAACGUUUUGAUUCAAGGUGUGGACGGGUUUGCAGCUUCCACGAGCCUCACUUUUCCACCCUGAUCCCGGACACCUGUCCCCGCCCCAGACAUGGGCCGCGGUGUGUCCUGCAGGUCCUCCCAGAGAUGGUUUACGUUCCUGCGUGCGCGAAAACUGGUUUAUACAAAAUGAUCACGCACCAUAAACACUGUUCUGCUUUUUUUCCCACUUACUGUAUCGUGGAGUCUGUUCCUCACCCGGUGUACCUGGGGGCCCUCCCUGGUCACAGUGGCAGCAGUGUCCCCGCCGGACACCACGGCUGCCCCAGCUGCCUGCCAUUAAGGCAACGCUGUGACCUCAGUCUUUAUUCACAGCUCAUGGUCGCACACGGGAGGGUAGGUGUGUGCAGACGCCAUGUUCAUCUUCCAAUUCGGGUUUGUUUUUCUCACCCACAAAGCGUCACUCGCUUCCUGCAGGGACGGAAAGCCCCACAGCCCUGCUUCCUUACUGGUCCUCACUCGCUUUACACAAAUGGGCUCAGAGCGUUUAGACUGUUCUCAAGCUGCGGCCUUUUCUUCACGUGACGGUAAACAAGGCUGCUCUUCCCGAGGAAGGGAUCCGCCUGCAUUUGGUCCGAGGGCUGAGCCCAUCGUGCUCUCCUGCCACGUUGGAAUCCAGAGUGCUGCCAGCUUGUGAGCUGCGCUGCAGGGAAACUCCCUGAAGCUGAGUCUCGGCCCACACCCUUCAUUCUGUCCUUCGGGCAGCUUCCCAGAAGUGGAAUUUCUAGCUCAAGAGCUGCACAUUUUUGAAAUGUGUGUGUGUGUUUCCGUUGUGUGUCUCUGGGCCGGUGCCCGCAGGCUCAUGCCUGCAGCUGCAGUGGCUUUGCACACUGGGCGUGUGUGCUUGCCCUCCACCCUGUCUCAGAACCGCUCAGAGCCGCCGCCUCUGCCCGACAGCUGGGAGAAUACACCAGUGUCUCCGCCCCUGCAGCUGCCCUUCCCUCCGGACUCAGCGCUGGAGGGGCUGCAGACCUCACCCUGGCCCCUGAGCUGGGCCAGCUCUCCUCUGCCCGGAUCCUUCCGGUAACCAGGGUCAGACACCCAGCCAGACUGGCCUUAACGACACGGGGAGAAGCCCAUGUCAUGCAAGUCCAGGACCUCGGGCCCAUGUGGAUGCGAGCAUUGAAAGAAGUCGUCCGGAAUCUCCAUCUGUCCCUUUGUUCUGGUUUGCUGUGUGCUCUCGGGCCAGCCUCCCGUGUGGAGACAGAGGCACCUGCAAUGAAGGGAGGUUCUUUGAAGCUGAGCCCGAACCUCCACCACAGGCGAUGCUCCCAGCCCCAGGUGCUCUCAGGCUGGAUGUCUGUGCUCCAGUGAACUCCUACUCAUCCUGCAAAACUUACCCAAUGUCACCUCCUCAGGGCAGCCUUCCCUGGCUCCCACUGGCAAGGUUGGCCGAGGAUGGCCCAUCUCUGCCCUCUGAGCAUCCACCGUCUAUCAGUGCUCUGCUCACAUCCCUUCAUUCCGCGAGAGGGAACUUAGGAUGAGGGUAUUUUGAUCACUUAAG